CUUGAAUCCCUAUAAGAGGUCUAGCCUGCCCAGUGACUUUGUUCAACGGCCGCGGUAUCCUAACCGUGCGAAGGUAGCGUAAUCACUUGUCUUUUAAAUGAGGACUUGUAUGAAUGGCAUCACGAGGGUUAUACUGUCUCCUUUCUCUAAUCAGUGAAACUAAUCUUCCCGUGAAGAAGCGGGAAUAAAUAUAUAAGACGAGAAGACCCUAUGGAGCUUUAAACUCAAUAACAAAUACUAACCUCACUUUAACUUCCAGAACAUUGACACUAAUCCUAGUAUUAUGAUUAUUAGUUUUAGGUUGGGGUGACCGCGGAGUAAAAAUUAACCUCCACAUUGAACAGGACCUUUCCUUGAGCUAAGAGCUACAACUCUAAGCACCAACAAAUUGACAUUAAUUGACCCAAUAUUUUGAUCAACGAAC
rnacentral:rRNA from 2 species